rnacentral:sRNA from 1 species
GCCAGGUGUGGUGACACAUGCCUGUAAUCCCAGUAACUCAGGAGGCUGAAGCAGGAGGAUUGCAAGUUCCAGACCAGCCUCAGCAACUUAGCGAGAUCCUGUCUCAA